CAUGCAUGGAUGCUUGAAAAUACCAGAUUUAUUUCUCGUGUUGAACACGAAUAGUCCGCGAAUAGUCGACGAAUAGAGCGAAUAGUCGACGAAUAGUACGAAUAGUCCGCGAAUAGUCGACGAAUAGUCGACGAAUAGUACAAUUUGAAAUCGACAAACAUGAAAUCGUGAAAACAUGAAGUCGUGAAAACAUUCGUUGAUGUCAAUGACAUCAUACGUAUUCG